GCCCAACAGCUAGCCCACCUAAACAAUUACAACAUCCCCUUGUUAAUAACCCCUAAAUACCCCAGUAUUUAAACUAACCAAACCAUUUUUCCCCCUUAGUAUAGGCGAUAGAAAAGGGACCACGGCGCAAUAGAGAAAGUACCGCAAGGGAAUGCUGAAAGAGAAAUGAAACAACCCAGUAAAGCCCCAAAAAGCAGAGCUUUAACCUCGUACCUUUUGCAUCAUGAUUUAGCGAGUGUACCCCAAGCAAAGAGCACUUUAGUUUGGCGUCCCGAAACUACGUGAGCUACUCCAAGACAGCCUAUUAAUAGGGCACACCCGUCUCUGUUGCAAAAGAGUGGGGAGAGCUUUGAGUAGAGGUGACAAACCUACCGAACCUAGUUAUAGCUGGUUGUCCAAGAAAUGAAUAGAAGUUCAGCCUCUUGGCUUCUCUUUUCACCCUAGUUUAACCCCUAUUGAUGCCCUGAAGAAACCGAGAGAGUUAGUCAAAGGGGGUACAGCCCCUUUGAAUCAAGACACAACUUUAGCAGGAGGGU
rnacentral:rRNA from 1 species